UACGGAGGGUGCGAGCGUUGUCCGGAAUCACUGGGCGUAAAGGGCGCGUAGGCGGCGCGGAUAGUCGGCGGUGAAAGCCCGGAGCUCAACUUCGGGUCGGCCGUCGAUACUUCCGGGCUUGAGCACUGUAGAGGCAGAUGGAAUUCCGGGUGUAGCGGUGGAAUGCGUAGAGAUCCGGAAGAACACCGGUGGCGAAGGCGGUCUGCUGGGCAGUUGCUGACGCUGAUGCGCGACAGCGUGGGGAGCAAACAGG
rnacentral:rRNA from 1 species